GACUGCAGCUGCAAGCCUGCAAUAGCCACUGCCAGCGCUACCGACUGAGCUAGAGCUCGUCCGCUCGUUGCAUGCAUCUAGCUAUACACUGGCACUGCCCGCACGCCAACUCGAUGUGCAUGAUUGACGAACAAAUGCACGUACAUUGCGAGGGCCUAUAAAAACGCGAGUUGCAUACACGCACUCAAUUCUUAACUUUUUCUCUCUGAACCCAGGUGAUCGAGUUGCAUACGCUCAACUCUUGCUCUUUUCUCUGUGAACCCAUCCUCCCAUAAUUUGAUGGAUUCGGGCUCAUCCUCGCGCGGCGGUGACGACAAGAAGCCGUCGGGCCAAGGUGGGCUCGGUUGUUUCAAUCUUAUUAAUAAGCAGGGUUCGAAAAACAAAGACAAACCGAUAGAACGAGCACCUGAGGCUGUGCGUCUCGAUGUCACGGAUCGUAGGCGCGGUUCCAACCAUAACUAUCCACCCAUGGGCUCGGACUACCUUCACCACCCGGAUGAUAGCAUCACUGGGUUACCGGAGUUUACUGGGAUCCCAAACCCGCCGAUGGCGAAAGCCCCAGAAUUUCAGGGUCCAAGGAGCGCUGGGAACUCCUGAACAAACCUGCAAGAUAAAUUGGCAGUCUGAGAUCCCUUUGCACGGAUAUGUAUUGUACUAAUUAUUUAAUUACCAUGCAUUUUCCAGUGUUUUAGUAUGCGUUCCCGCUUCUAUUAAGUACCUCGUCAUCAUUUAUUGUAUUGGCUAUUUUAGUAUUUUUCUAUAACUUUCUCAGUAUAUGCCCUUGCGUUUCUACCUAUUGUAGGCGCUAUAUAUGCACAAAGCCAUUUCAUUUGCCAUUAAUUUGUUGUGAA